rnacentral:rRNA from 1 species
GAUGAACGCUGGCGGCGUGCCUAAUACAUGCAAGUCGAGCGAACGGACGAGAAGCUUUCUUCUCUGAUGUUAGCGGCGGACGGGUGAGUAACACGUGGAUAACCUACCUAUAAGACUGGCAUAACUACGGGACACCGGAGCUAAUACCGGAUGAUAUUUUGAACCAGAUGGUUCAAUAGUGAGAGACGGUCUUUCUGUCACUAAUAGAGGGAUCCGCGCUGCUUUAGCUAAUGGGUAAGGAAACGGCUUACCAAGGCAACGAUGCAUAGCUGACCUGAGAGGGUGGUCGGCCACCCUGGAACUGAGACACGGUCCGGACUCCUACGGGAGGCAGCAGUAGGGAAUCUUCCGCAAUGGGCGAAAGCCUGACGGAGCAACGCCGCGUGAGUGAAGAAGGUCUUCGGAUCGUAAAACUCUGUUAUUAGGGAAGAACAUAUGUGUAAGUAACUGUGCCCAUCUUGACGGUACCUAAUCAAAAAGCAACGGCUAACUACGUG